rnacentral:lncRNA from 1 species
UGGGUCAUGUACAAAGUUCUGAAGGGGACAUUUUUGUGAGAUCCUAUGAAUUUUCGAGUGAAGACAUCUUUGCUUCAAAUCUUUCCGACAAACUCACAAGAACCAAUUUAUUCUUGCAGGCUUAAACAAACACUACGUAUGAACAAAAUCAAAAGCAAAAAGAACAUUUAUUUAGAAACGGAUGAAUUACAAACAAAAACCUCCAAGCAAAAUCUAGUUCACUCGGAAAGAGAGGUACCAACGCUGUCGAACAGUCCCAAGGGAAACCUUUCUACAGCAAUGCAUAUGAACCACGGCUCAUAAAACAUUCCACAUCACGGUUCAGGGUUUUCUUGCAAUCAUUUGCUCGAUGUUUUGGCCCAUCAACAAGGUCUAUUACAUACGCAAAAGACCUGUGCUUUUCCAGAUUUACUCCCCGUCAACAUUGCUGUCGGUUUAAAAAAUAAAACAUUUGAUGAUACCUUCAUUCCUAUCACAGUUAACAGAGCUUGUCAUCAAGUCCAAGAACUUGGGCAGAAUAAAAGUAUGCUAUACACAACACAACUGUUUGAUUAACGUAUACGCUAAACUAAAACACUUGCAGUCUCUCAAACUUGGGCAAAUCAAAGAGAUGACUACAUCGUAAAUACAAAAGUUGACCAGGUCCGUACCAAUAUAUAGCUGCCUUUAGCGCUUGCACGCAAUCUCAUGAUUGAAUAUACUUACCAUACUAUGACAUGGAAACAUUAGCAAUUGGCUACAUGCUACCGAGGGGGGAGGAGGGGGGGGGGGGGGUUUACGAACG